CGGCCCUCGCGGCCGGGUCCGCCGAAGCACAGAGGCUCGAGCAGGACCCUCACAAAGGGCAACAGUCUGGUAGGCGACCCCACCCGGUCGCAUGCCGCUGGUGCCUCGGGUGUCUGCUGACCGAGCCCGCAGGAAGUGGCUUCACGGCCACCCCCUUACCUUUCGACCUGAGUUCAGGCAAGAGCACCCGCUGAACUUAA
rnacentral:misc_RNA from 1 species